rnacentral:misc_RNA from 1 species
CAGAGCAUCAUGCCCUUCGGGGUAGAUCUCCCACCCUAUGUAUUUAUACCUUUUGUUGCUUUGGCGGGCCGCCUCGGCCACCGGCUUCGGCUGGUGCGUGCCCGCCAGAGGACCCCAAACUCUGAAUGUUAAUGUCGUCUGAGUACUAUAUAAUAGUUA